rnacentral:rRNA from 1 species
AUGUGGGGGACUGUUGGAUGCAUGUUGGGCACGGACCGCUGUCCGAAUAACAUUUGGCAAUAUUUCUCCUGGUGCUAUAGCUUCCUUCCAGAUGGAGAGAAGUUCUAUACUUUUGGCUUAGCUGCCCUUUGCUGGGCUAUAUGGAAUUGCCGUAACAGAACCACCUUUGAACUCAAGAAGUUGGGAUCUCCAUUUAACGUGAUAUAUGUUGCUUGUGGUUAUAUCACAUAUUGGGCAGGUCUGAUGAGGGGGGAAGACUGUGAAGCAAUGGAGCGUGGAGCUAAGAUGCUGAGGAUCAAUGCCUCGAACAUGAUGCGUAUCUGCGCGGCGCCAGGAGGGAACAACUGA